UUUGUUUCCUCGUCUACAUAUGUUGAAGAUCAUAAUGAUAUCAGUAGCGAAAGGUCUCAUGGUAUGAUUGAUUUCAGGUUGAGGAUGAUGGCUAGGGUUCAGUUUAAGACUGGUGCUUCGUGGUCUAAACGUCGGAUUCUGAAGAUUUAUGCCCUAAUUUAUUGACUGGGGUUGCUUCUUCUCGUUGUCGACAACAAGAAAUCCAGGGAAAAGCAACAGCAGCAGAUGGUGGUGAAGAGGUGCUCGGUGCCUGUUGUGGAGUCUGCAAAAGGAGGUGAAAACGAAGGCAGCAGGGGAUUUUAGGUCGUCAACGACACCACCAAGAAACUGAAUUGGUUUUGAAGAGGUUGCCAUUAAUGUGGAAAAUGAAGAAAAUAUGGAGAACGAUAAUAUUCUUUCGGAAUAGAGUAGUGUUUUUGUUAGAUUUUGAUGUUUUUUCUUGUAUUAACCAUUUUUAGUUUUAAUCUUUAAGAAUAAAUGUAAUCCUUAAACCAUUAUUAGUCAUAAUUUUUUUAGAAUGAUUGUAAUAAUUGUUUAUAGUCUUUUUGUUUACGGAUGAAUGUAAAUAGUGAUUCUUAAAGAAUAAAAUCCGUAUUCUUUAGAAAA